AUCGAACGCUGGCGGCAGGCCUAACACAUGCAAGUCGAGCGGAGCGGCUGACGGGUGAGUAAUUCCUAGGAAUCUGCCUGGUAGCGGGGGAUAACGUCCGGAAACGGGCGCUAAUCUCGCAUACUAUCAGAUGAGCCUAGGUCGGAUUGGCUGGUUGGUGGGGUAAUGGCCUACAAGGGCGACGAUCAGUAACUGGUCUGAGAGGAUGAUCAGUCACAGUGGAACUGAGAAACGGUCCAGACUCCUCCGGGGGGCAGCAGUGGGAAAUAUUGGAAAAUGGGCGAAGGCCUGAUCCAGACAUGCCGCGGGUGUGAAGAGGGUCUUCGGAUUGUAAAGCACUUUAAGUUGGGAGGCGUUACCAACAGAAUAAGCACCGGCUAACUUCGUGCCAGCAGCCGCGGUAAUUC
rnacentral:rRNA from 1 species